UUUUAUGAGAGUUUGAUCCUGGCUCAGGACGAACGCUGGCGGCGUGCCUAAUACAUGCAAGUCGAACGCUUCUUUUUCCACCGGAGCUUGCUCCACCGGAAAAAGAGGAGUGGCGAACGGGUGAGUAACACGUGGGUAACCUGCCCAUUAGAAGGGGAUAACACUUGGAAACAGGUGCUAAUACCGUAUAACAAUCAAAACCGCAUGGUUUUGAUUUGAAAGGCGCUUUCGGGUGUCGCUGAUGGAUGGACCCGCGGUGCAUUAGCUAGUUGGU
rnacentral:rRNA from 1 species